AAGCAACAUCCGCUAACCUGAGCGUGAGAUAAUAGUCAUUUAACAGAAAAAAAAAAAAAGACCUGACGCCUCACUGUGUCCUUAUAAUUCAUGUAGCGACCUGCAGUGGAGCCUCUUCCUAGGCCUCUGCCUGUGUGCACACAGCCACAGGGAUGCGAGCACAUGCAAAAGUCCGGCCCAGAAGGAACUCAGCAGUAGGGCGUGGUGGCUGUGCAGGAGCCCAGCACCCAAACCCAAACUAAACUAAAUGGAGCUGAGCAAACCUACUCUGUCUGCCCAGCACAGUGGCCCACGCCUGUAAUCCCACGGUUCAGGAGGCUGAGGCAGGAGGAUCAGGAGUUCCACACCAGCCUCCUAAUUUAGCAAGGCCCUAAGCACCUUGGUGAGACCCUGUCUGUAAAUAAAAAAUAAAAAGGGCUGGGGAUGGGGCUCCAUGGUUAAGUGCCUCUGGGUUCUACCAAAACAAAGAAAGAAAUCCCUACUCCUGCAGAUUUUCAACUGUGGAAAUGCACAGGAGCAACAUGGAGCGCCUGGAACGGUUCUUCCUACUCAAACUUUGCUUCCUUCUACCAUCAUUCCCCCAAUUCCUCCAUCCCCCUGCCUCUGGUCACCAGCUGUUCCACCCCAGGACUGCAACAGCCCUAACACUGCAGCAUAUUGCUUUCUGAUCUCAAAGAAAGAACCUGGAGGACUCCAUGGGGAGGUUUUGGACAUGUCACUACUUACUCCUGAGGGCGGGGGCUGGGACUGGGACACAGUGGAGGGCCACCUCGAGCCCACUUACAGCCAAGGUCCUCUCCCAAGGACUGGAGGUAAGGACAGUGGCCAUCUUCCCUCCCAGCUCCCCAUCCCCACGUUCUUUGGAGACCUCCUUAUCCAGCAGCAGGCUCUCCAGGACCCGACUGGCUUUUAACCCAACAGCACCACUCCGCUCUCUUCUCCUGCGACUUGCACAUGCGAAGGAGCCAGGCCCUGCUUGUCUGUCUGUGCCUGCCUUCUUCACUCACCACAGUGUCUCCUCUGCAUUUUAAAGUCCACACCCUUCACUACAUUUUCAAAAUCUCUUUUGCUAGAUGACCAAGGAUUUCCCGUAUCCAGGGAUCCUGAACACCUGGGGGAGCCCUCUGCCUACUAUAGACUUUGCCCAGGCACCCAAACAUCUUCGUUAUGAAUUCAGUGACAUUUUUCUACUGUCAUCGAGUUGACCUGAAAAUUACAUUUUCAGCAAACUCAUAAAGGGCUCUAAUGAUUUACAGUGUCAUGAAAAUCAUAAAGUGAAAUGCUCUUGAAAAAAAUCUAAGCGUGGCAUGGUGGCACAGAUCUGUCAUUCUAGUGAUUCAGGAGACUGCACAGAGGGAACUUCCCCCCUUCAAGGGCAGCCUCCCCAACUUAGGAAGAUCCUGAGCAAUUUAGCAAGAUCCGGUAUCAAAGCGUAAAUAAAUAAAGGUCUGGGGGAUGCAGUUCAGUAGUAAGCAACCUGGGGUUCUAUCUCCAGUAGGAAAGAAA
rnacentral:lncRNA from 1 species